CCCUUAGAUGUCCUGGGCCGCACGCGCGUUACACUGAUGCAUUCAACGAGCUUAUAACCUUGGCCGAGAGGCCUGGGCAAUCUUGUUAACGUGCAUCGUGAUAGGGAUAGAUUAUUGAAAUUAUUAAUCUUGAACGAGGAAUUCCUAGUAAACGCAGAUCAUCAAUCUGCAUUGAUUACGUCCCUGCCCUUUGUACACACCGCCCGUCGCACCUACCGAUUGGAUGGUCCGGUGAAAUCUCGGGACGGCGGCUUGGUCGCUUGCGUCCGACUGCUGAAACUUGAUUAAACCAUAUCAUUUAGAGGAAGGUGAAGUCGUANCA
rnacentral:rRNA from 1 species